rnacentral:rRNA from 1 species
CACGUAUACAAUCUACCUUAAAACAGGGGGGAUUAGCCCUUUCGAAAAGAGAGAUUAAUACCCGUAAUAAAUUGAACGGCAUCGUUUGAUUUGAAAGCUCCGGGCGGUUUGAGAUGAGUAUGCGUCUGAUUAGCUAGUUGGUGAGGUAACGGCUCACCAAGGCGACGAUCAGUAGGGGACCUGAGAGGAUAACCCCCACACUGGUACUGAGACACGGACCAGACUCCUACGGGAGGCAGCAGUAAGGAAUAUUGGUCAAUGGAGGCAACUCUGAACCAGCCAUGCCGCGUGCAGGAUGACGGCCCUAUGGGUUGUAAACUGCUUUUAUACAAGAGAAAACCCUGGUACGUGUACCAAGUUGAUAGUAUUGUAAGAAUAAGCAUCGGCUAACUUCGUG